rnacentral:rRNA from 1 species
GAUGAACGCUAGCGGCAGGCUUAACACAUGCAAGUCGAGGGGCAUCACGGGUAGCAAUACCUGGUGGCGACCGGCGCAAGGGUGCGUAACGCGUGAGCAACAUGCCCUAUACAGGGGGAUAAUCCAGGGAAACUUGGUCUAAUAUCCCAUAGCAUUUAGAGGUGGCAUCACCAUUAAAUUAAAGCUUCGGUGGUAUAGGAUUGGCUCGCGUGACAUUAGCUAGAUGGUGGGGUAACGGCUCACCAUGGCUAUGAUGUUUAGGGGUCCUGAGAGGGUGGUCCCCCACACUGGUACUGAGACACGGACCAGACUCCUACGGGAGGCAGCAGUGAGGAAUAUUGGUCAAUGGGCGCAAGCCUGAACCAGCCAUCCCGCGUGCAGGAAGACGGCCCUAUGGGUUGUAAACUGCUUUUCCAGGGAGAGAAACUUACGCACGUGUUGCGUGACUGACGGUACCCUGGGAAUAAGCAUCGGCUAACUCCGUGCCAGC